AAUAAAAGAGGCAAGGAGGCGCUGCUAGGCUAGGAAGGCGAGGCAAGCGCAGCUGCAGCUCUAGCUCUAGCGCGCGCUCUCUUUCCCUGCUUCUGUCUUCGCUCCCUAAGUUCCAGGGGGAUCCUGAAGCCAGGCAGCGCCCCCGGUGAAGCCCGACAGAGGCGAUCCAUGCUCACGAUUCAACUGUACAUACAAUCGCCUGAAUAUACAUGCAAAGAAUUGGGAAUGCAAGUGGUGAAUAAUCACAAAAGGCUAGAUUCUUCCAUCCUUGCUCACAGUGAGUAGCACCCUUACUCCUCCACAAGUUGUGUGGUCAUACCUCACUCUUCUUGUUUUCGACUUGCCAGGAAUCAAAGCGGAAUAACUGGGCCCAUAGGAUGUGUAGUGUAUUAGAGCCUUUUCCUGAAUUGAACUUUAUUUUGAUUAUGUAGGCCUGAUUCUGUCAUCCUUGUGUUCACUGAAAAGUAGCUUAUUCCUCAAGAAAUCCAAUUUGAAGUUAAUGGGACAACUUGCAGGAUAAAGUACUACUCAGUAUGUGGAAGGGUGGUACUUACAGUUAGGACCCUGAUUCAAUAUAGCACUUCACCACAUGCUGAAGUCCCACUGAAGUAAAGCACGGGUGUAAGUGCUUUGCUGAAGCAAGGCUAAAAUCUAUAGAACCAGAUUCUGAUACCCUCACUUACAUGAGGUAGUACCUUUAUGUCCAGCUCCUCAAAGAUAUUUAGGUGCCUAACUUUCCAUUGACUUCAAAUACCUUUGAGGAUCUGGGUCUUACUCCAGGUUAGUCCUGUUGACUUCAGCAGGGCUAUUUCAGGAAUAAGUAGGGUGACCAGAUAGCAAGUGUGAAAAAUUGGGACAGGGGUUGGGGGGCAAUAGGUAAGAGCCCCCAAAAUCGGGACUGUCCCUAUAAAAUCGGGACAUCUGGUCACCCUAGGAAUAAGGAACUAAUCAACAUGAGUAGGGGUGUCAGAACCUGGCCAGUAUUCAGACCCUGAAAUAAAAGUGGCUUGAUUUCCA
rnacentral:lncRNA from 1 species